rnacentral:rRNA from 1 species
UGCCAGCCGCCGCGGUAAUACGGAGGAUGCAAGCGUUAUCCGGAAUCAUUGGGUUUAAAGGGUCCGUAGGCGGAUAAUUAAGUCAGUGGUGAAAUCCUGCAGCUCAACUGCAGAACUGCCAUUGAUACUGGUUAUCUUGAGUUUUGUUGAGGUAGGCGGAAUGUGUAGUGUAGCGGUGAAAUGCUUAGAUAUUACACAGAACACCGAUUGCGAAGGCAGCUUACUAAGCAAAUACUGACGCUGAGGCACGAAAGCGUGGGGAGCGAACAGGAUUAGAUA